CAGUUAGGGGAUGUUGUAAGACGGGGCAAAAUGAAAACAGAGGUGUGGUAAAUAACUAACUACUGCCUUGUGAUGGAACCGAUGUGAUUGUGGCUGAUUCUGGGGAAAAGGAAGGCUUAACUCGUAAACGUUAGUCAUGAGGGAAAACUGGGAGGAGACGGUAGGCAAGGAGACAGUAGGCAAGCAGACAGAGGUGAGCACACACUCACCUACACACACCAUGCCACAGGAGACGAACAAAGAGAAGACCCAAAGAGGGAUCCUAUGAUGUGUAACUAAAGCAGGAAAUAUGUCAGACCAUACUGACUGAUAAACUCACAAGAACUUGAAGCUGACCACAGCAGUGAGGCAACAUGGAUGUACGUACGAACGAAUCGACCGGAGGGGGGGAUGACAUCACCGUCACCCGUGGGAGCCAGGGCCUGCCAUUCAUGACAGCGGUGUGUGUGUGUGUCUGUCUCUGUGUGUCACUUCCUGGGAGAGAAUAGAACAGGAAGCUGGGGUGAGAGCCGACAACAAGCCCUCGCCUCACCUCCACAAGGAAGCCUUUCUCCCCAGGGAGAGAAAGAGAGGGAUGUGUGUCUGUGUAUGUGUGUGUGUGUGUGUGUGUGUGUGUCCUUCGCUCGCUCCUGCAUUCAUACUGCAGAGUGCUGGUUCUGGGUUUGCGUAAGCCUACUGUGUGCAUUUACUUUUAGCUCAAGUCUGACCUUUUUAAAAAAAAAAAAAAAAAAAAAAAAUUGAGCAAAUUGAGGUCACUUUUUCUAGCCAGUUGCGUGCAGACUCUGGAGAGGGGAAAAUGUCUACCUCAGCCACCAUGGCAUUGCCAGGGUUUAUUUUUCCUUACGCACCAGAGCAGCACUUAACAGUGUGACAUCACGCCCUCUCUUUGACCUCAAAUACAUUGACCUCCACAACAUAGGUCCAAUGGGACUCUGACAUUGAUGGGAAGUGAAACUUAAUGUAGAGAAAAAUGGAGAAUGUAACAGAAAAUAUCCGACUAUGAGGAAAGCAAGUUAGAAAAUGAUUAUUGUGAUUGCCUACAUUCCAAUGUAGUGCUUAGUAUCCUAGUAAGCUGCUUGUUUUUAACACUCUACCUUUUGCAAACUAUUUGCUGUUCCGUGUCCAGGCAUCCUCCAUCAUGCAUGCUGCAUGCCACCGCCUUAAGCAUCAUGUUUAAAAGCUUCUCUUAUGCCUCUAGUUGCUCUUUUUCUUCUUCUUUGCUCGUAUCAAAUAUUCAAAGCAGGUGUUGUUGCACCAUAAAAGACUAAGAUGUCAAUCUGUUGUCAAUCCAGCAAGCCUUUUAUUAGUAUCACCUAUGUGUUAUUUCAACUCAUGUGUUCCCGUCAUUUGUCCAUCUUAACUUUAGAUUCACUCCUCUUCCUGUUGUGUUGUAUCAUUUAUUUCCUGCUAACUGGCUCUGAGUUGAUACUGAAUAUCUGCCAAGUGACCCUACCCGUUAACCUUUCUAAACUGAGGGCGAAGAGAGAUGACAUGUUCCUAUGAGAGAAUCAAGGGAGAGUCAUAUCACCAUAGUAACUAUUUCAUCAGAUGUUAUGCUGCCCUCUUGUGUCCAUAAGCAGAAUUAAAGGAGUCUGUCUACUUAAACCACAUGUGACAGCAUGGCAAAAUAUUGUGUCAUGAAUUUAAGGGCGUCUCAUUGUGAGGCUGUAUCACAUGAUUAAUUAAAUGUUCUCCUCCUCCUUCUCCCCUCUGCUGCCCCCACCCUCCUAAACCCACAGUAGAAGCCCCAAAUAAAAGA